GGGGCGACGGGCAUGGAUGCCCGUCGAGCACUGAUGGGCCAUGGAUGGCCCUUCAGUGCGUCCAC
rfam:Pseudomonas entomophila str. L48 chromosome,complete sequence.